rnacentral:rRNA from 1 species
AGUGAACGCUGGCGGUAGGCCUAACACAUGCAAGUCGAACGGCAGCCCAGUAAGAGCUUGCUCUUACGGGUGGCGAGUGGCGGACGGGUGAGGAAUACAUCGGAAUCUACUUUUUCGUGGGGGAUAACGUAGGGAAACUUACGCUAAUACCGCAUACGACCUACGGGUGAAAGCAGGGGAUCUUCGGACCUUGCGCGAUUGAAUGAGCCGAUGUCGGAUUAGCUAGUUGGCGGGGUAAAGGCCCACCAAGGCGACGAUCCGUAGCUGGUCUGAGAGGAUGAUCAGCCACACUGGAACUGAGACACGGUCCAGACUCCUACGGGAGGCAGCAGUGGGGAAUAUUGGACAAUGGGCGCAAGCCUGAUCCAGCCAUACCGCGUGGGUGAAGAAGGCCUUCGGGUUGUAAAGCCCUUUGUUGGGAAAGAAAAGCAGCAGGUUAAUACCCCGCUGUUCUGACGGUACCCAAAGAAUAAGCACCGGCUAACUUCGUG